UCUUUCACACUCAGUCUCUAUGAUCCCUGCCUUCGUUCGCCCUUUUCACACUCAGUCUCUUUGAUCCCUGCCCUCUUUUGGCCGCUCUGGCGCUCGGUCUCUAUGAUUCCUGCCCUCCUUUGUCCCUUUCACACUCAGUCUCUAUGAUCCCUGCCUUUAUUUGCCCUCCUCACACUCAGUCUCUAUGAUCCCUGCCUUUAUUUGCCCUCCUCACACUCAGUCUCUAAGAUCCCUGUUCCCUCUUUUGGCCCUUCUGACACUCAGUCUCUUUGAUCCCUGCCCUCUUUUGGCCCUUCUGGCACUCAGUCUCUAUGAUCCCUGUCCUCCUUUGUUCCUUCUGGCACUCAGUCUCUAUGAUCCCUGUCCUCCUUUGUCUCUUUUGCCCAAUUUCUUUCCAUUUUCCCCCAUUUUUUUUCCCUUUCCCCGUUUCUUUUCUUCCCGUUUUUGCCCCCCUUUGCCCGAUUUUGGCCUUUUUUCACCCAAUUUCUGUGUCCUCAGCCCGGAUCACCUCAACAGCCACGUGCGCCAGGUGCAUUCCACCGAGCGGCCCUUCAAGUGCCAGGUAGGGCUGCCCCAUAGCUGCCCCACGGCUGCCCCACGGCUGCCCCACAGCUGCCCCAUAGCUGCCCCAUGGCUGCCCCACAGCUGCCCCAUAGCUGCCCCACGGCUGCCCCACAGCUGCCCCACGGCUGCCCCACAGCUGCCCCAUAGCUGCCCCAUGGAUAACCCAUAGCUGCCCCAUAGCUGCCCCAUGGCUGCCCCAUAG
rnacentral:lncRNA from 1 species